rnacentral:rRNA from 1 species
UACGGGGGGGGCAAGCGUUGUUCGGAAUUACUGGGCGUAAAGGGCUCGUAGGUGGCCAACUAAGUCAUACGUGAAAUCCCUCAGCUUAACUGGGGAACUGCGCCUGAUACUGGUUGGCUUGAGUUUGGGAGAGGGACGCGGAAUUCCAGGUGUAGCGGUGAGAUGCGUAGAUAUCUGGAGGAACACCGGUGGCGAAGGCGGCGUCCUGGACCAAUACUGACACUGAGGAGCGAAAGCCAGGGGAGCAAACGGG